rnacentral:ncRNA from 1 species
UGGGGAGUACGGUCGCAAGAUUAAAACUCAAAUGAAUUGACGGGGGCCCGCACAAGCGGUGGAGCAUGUGGUUUAAUUCGAUGCAACGCGAAGAACCUUACCUACUCUUGACAUCCAGAGAACUUUCCAGAGAUGGAUUGGUGCCUUCGGGAACUCUGAGACAGGUGCUGCAUGGCUGUCGUCAGCUCGUGUUGUGAAAUGUUGGGUUAAGUCCCGCAACGAGCGCAACCCUUAUCCUUGUUUGCCAGCACGUAAUGGUGGGAACUCCAGGGAGACUGCCGGUGAUAAACCGGAGGAAGGUGGGGACGACGUCAAGUCAUCAUGGCCCUUACGAGUAGGGCUACACACGUGCUACAAUGGCGUAUACAGAGGGCUGCCAACCAGCGAUGGUGAGCGAAUCCCAGAAAGUACGUCGUAGUCCGGAUUGGAGUCUGCAACUCGACUCCAUGAAGUCGGAAUCGCUAGUAAUCGUGAAUCAGAAUGUCACGGUGAAUACGUUCCCGGGCCUUGUACACACCGCCCGUCACACCAUGGGAGUGGGCUGCACCAGAAGUAGAUAGCUUAACCUUCGGGAGGGCGUUUACCACGGUGUGGUUCAUGACUGGGGUGAAGUCGUAACAAGGUAGCCCUAGGGGAACCUGGGGCUG